AGCGAACGCUGGCGGCAGGCCUAACACAUGCAAGUCGAACGAACCUUUCGGGGUUAGUGGCGGACGGGUGAGUAACACGUGGGAACGUGCCUUUAGGUUCGGAAUCACUCAGGGAAACUUGUGCUAAUACCGCAUGUGCCCUUCGGGGGAAAGAUUUAUUGCCUUUAGAGCGGCCCGCGUCUGAUUCGCUAGUUGGUUGAGGUAAUGGCUCACCACGGCGACGAUCAGUAGCUGGGCUGAGAGGAUGAUCAGCCACAUUGGGACUGAGACACGGCCCAAACUCCUACGGGAGGGAGCAGUGGGGAAUCUUGCGGAAUGGGCGAAAGCCUGACGCAGCCAUGCCGCGUGAAUGAUGAAGGUCUUAGGAUUGUAAAAUUCUUUCACCGGGGACGAUAAUGACGGUACCCGGAGAAGAAGCCCCGGCUAACUUCGUG
rnacentral:rRNA from 1 species